rnacentral:tRNA from 1 species
GGCGACGUAGCUCAGUGGUCAGAGCGGGCGCUUCAUAAGCGCUAGGUCACUGGUUCAAACCCAGUCGUCGCCACCA